GCCUGGCUGGCUCAGUCAGUAGAGCAUGGGGCUCUUAAUCUCAGGGUUGUGGGUUCAAGUCCCACAUUGGGUG
rnacentral:tRNA from 1 species